UUCAUUACUUUAGCUUCUUGUUGUUUUUAGGACUUUUUUUUGUUCAGGAUUUUCUCAUUGUUUUCUUAAUAGUUUGUCACGGUCACCCGGCUCCUCCUUCCCUCCUGCCUGCUUUUUGGGGGUCCCCCGCCACCACGCUCAUGACACAAACAGUCUUUUGCCUGAAGCCGCCUCUUCCUACGCAAGUCCUGCGCUUGGCCAGAAGUGAAGAAAGACAGAACGACAUGUCGAAACAACUUCUCGACAUCUUUCCUUUCCUGCCUCUUUAACACCUGACUGACUUUUUUUUUUUUUUUGGUCCAAAAAUAAAUACACUGCCCUCCUUGA